CGGGAGAUGAGUCUGAGAGUUGGAGCAAAAACCUCCGAAAUAUGGGGAUAUUUCAGGCCAACUGAAAGCAGUCCGCCGUCUUCACAACUCUGAGACAAACUGUAGCAGGUGCUACGAACCGGAGCAAGGACUAACCUCGCCUCAUAACGAGGCCGUGACCUAUAUUUGCUCGGAGCUGUCUGCGGGUCCAGAUUUACAUGA